rnacentral:rRNA from 1 species
UGGGGGAUAUUGCACAAUGGGCGAAAGCCUGAUGCAGCGACGCCGCGUGGGGGAUGAAGGCCUUCGGGUUGUAAACUUCUUUUGCUCUGAACAAGGCGCACCAUGGGGUGUGUUGAGUGUAGGGGUUGAUUAGCGCCGGCUAACUACGUGCCAGCAGCCGCGGUAAUACGUAGGGCGCGAGCGUUGUCCGGAAUUAUUGGGCGUAAAGGGCUUGUAGGUGGCUGGUUGCGUCUGUCGUGAAAGCUCAUGGCUUAACUGUGGGUUUGCGGUGGGUACGGGCUGGCUUGAGUGCAGUAGGGGAGGCUGGAAUUCCUGGUGUAGCGGUGGAAUGCGCAGAUAUCAGGAGGAAUACCGGUGGCGAAGGCGGGUCUCUGGGCUGUUGCUGACACUGAGGAGCGAAAGCAUGGGGAGCGAACAGG